AUUGAACGCUGGCGGCAGGCCUAACCCAUGCAAGUCGAGCGAGCGGCGGACGGGUGAGUAAUGUAUGGGGACUGCCCGAUAGAGGGGGAUAACUACUGGAGACGGUAGCUAAUACCGCAUACUAUCGGAUAACCCAUAUGGGAUUAGCUAGUAGGUGAGGUAAUGGCUCACCUAGGCGACGAUCCCUAGCUGGUCUGAGAGGAGGAUCAGCCAAACGGGAACGGAGACACGGCCCAGACUCCAAGGGAGGCAGCAGUGGGGAAUAUUGCACAAGGGGCGCAAGCCUGAUGCAGCCAUGCCGCGUGUAUGAAGAAGGCCCUAGGGGUGUAAAGUACGUUCAGUCGGGAGGCGUUACCGGCAGAAGAAGCACCGGCUAACUCCGUGCCAGCAGCCGCGGUAAUUC
rnacentral:rRNA from 1 species